rnacentral:rRNA from 2 species
CAAUGGCAUGCCUCAGUACGGCGAGUGAGCGGCAAGAGCUCAAAUUUGAAAUCUAGUACCUUCGGUGCUCGAGUUGUAAUUUGAAGGUAGUUUUCUGGUGCUGGCCCUUGUCUAUGUUCCUUGGAACAGGACGUCAUAGAGGGUGAGAAUCCCGUCUGAUGGGGUGUCCAGUGCUUUGUAGAUUUCUACCGAAGAGUCGAGUUGUUUGGGAAUGCAGCUCUAAGUGGGUGGUAAAUUCCAUCUAAAGCUAAAUAUUGGCGAGAGACCGAUAGCGAACAAGUACAGUGAUGGAAAGAUGAAAAGAACUUUGAAAAGAGAGUGAAAAAGUACGUGAAAUUGUUGAAAGGGAAGGGUAUUGGAUCAGACUUGGUGUUUUGUGAUUAUCUUCCCUUCUUGGGUUGUGCACUCGCAUUUCACUGGGCCAGCAUCGAUUCGGAUGGUAAGAUAAUGGCUUGAGAACGUGGCACUCUUCGGGGUGUGUUAUAGCUCUUGUUGAUGUUGCCUAUCUGGAUCGAGGACUGCGGCUUUUGCCUAGGAUGCUGGCGUAAUGAUUCAAUACCGCCCGUCUUGAAACACGGACCA